CCUACGGGGGGCAGCAGUAAGGAAUAUUGGGCAAUGGAGGCAACUCUGACCCAGCCAUGCCGCGUGAAGGAUGACGGCCCUAUGGGUUGUAAACUUCUUUUAUACGGGAAUAAACCCGGGUACGUGUACCCGGCUGAAUGUACCGUAAGAAUAAGGAUCGGCUAACUCCGUGCCAUCAGCCGCGGUACUACGGAGGAUCCAAGCGUUAUUGGGAUUCAUUGGGUUUUAAGGGUGCGUGGACGGCUUUGUAGAAAUCCUACAGCUUAACUGUAGAACUGCCGUUGAUACUGCAAGUCUUGAGUACAUUUGAUGUGGGCGGAAUGUGUCAUGUAGCGGUGAAAUGCUUAGAUAUGACACGGAACACCAAUUGCGAAGGCAGCUCACAAAACUGUAACUGACGCUGAGGCACGACAGCGUGGGGAUCAAACAGGAUUAGAUACCCGAGUAGUC
rnacentral:rRNA from 1 species